rnacentral:rRNA from 1 species
UACAGAGGUCUCAAGCGUUGUUCGGAUUCAUUGGGCGUAAAGGGUGCGUAGGUGGCGCUGUAAGUCGAGUGUGAAAUUUCGGAGCUUAACUCCGAAACUGCAUUCGAUACUGCGGUGCUUGAGGACUGGAGAGGAGACUGGAAUUCAUGGUGUAGCAGUGAAAUGCGUAGAGAUCAUGAGGAACACCAGUGGCGAAGGCGGCGAUCUGGGUCGAUACUGACGCUGAGGUGCGAAAGCGUGGGGAGCAAACAGG